CGAAGGGGGCUAGCGUUGCUCGGAAUGACUGGGCGUAAAGGGCGCGUAGGCGGUUCGUACAGUCAGACGUGAAAUUCCCGGGCUCGACCUGGGGGCUGCGUUUGAUACGUGCGGGCUUGAGUUCGGAAGAGGGUCGUGGAAUUCCCAGUGUAGAGGUGAAAUUCGUAGAUAUUGGGAAGAACACCGGUGGCGAAGGCGGCGACCUGGUCCGAUACUGACGCUGAGGCGCGAAAGCGUGGGGAGCAAACAGGAUUAGAUACCCUGGUAGUCCACGCCGUAAACGAUGUGUGCUGGAUGUUGGGCAGUCUGACUGUUCAGUGUCGUAGCCAACGCGAUAAGCACACCGCCUGGGGAGUACGGCCGCAAGGUUG
rnacentral:rRNA from 1 species